AAAUGAGGCCCUUUGUUGUUUGCCUUAAAUACAACCUUUACAAGCUAGUGACAUAGCAUUGUGGCUUAUAUGACCAAGAUCUAAGUCACUUACCAUGGAUUGGAACUCUUUCAUGCUCUUGGCAUUCAAAUGACCAAAGCGUCAAUGCCAAAUGCCAAACUUAUCUUGAUCUUGAGGAAAUUCAGUAAAUGCUGCGACU
rnacentral:lncRNA from 1 species